AAGCCGUUGUGUGCACGCCCCACCCGCGUAGCUUCACCCCCGGCACCGGCUCAGCAGCUCACCGGCCCCACCCGCAUAGCUUCACCCCCUGCACGUGGCUCAGCAGGUCACUGCAGUGCCCCUGAGACCCGGUGCCGUCCUGUUGGAUCGAAGCUUCUAGAUGACGCCAGAUGGACAGCAGAAGCCCAAUCCCCUCCAUCGCUUCAUCCCGUUGAGUUGCAUAUGCCACCAGAAGCCCCAUCCCCUCCCUCGCUCAAGUGGCAUCGCGACUCUGCGGUAAGGGCGGCAGCUCAUCCACAGCGAUGACGGUGACGUCGGGGACGCGGGAGGUGGCAUCAGGGACGUGCUGUCCGAAAAGGUGCAGGGCGUCAUUGAGCGUAUGAUCGAAGUCAUGCGUAGGGUAGGGACCCAGGCGUCAACCUCUCCGCCCGCAGAUUGACGUCCCGCUCCGGGUAUGUCUGAUUCUUCGAUUCGCCUUGGGAGUUCUGUUACUGGCAUUCAAUCAUCGAUGACACCCAAUUAAUCAUGGAAUUGCAUAUUAUUGUUCUCGAGGAUACAUAGGAGUACAUCUAUGCACCGCCGCCCAUUAAGCAUUUGGUCACGCCCUGUGCUUUUCCUUGGAGAUAGAUCAUUAUCAAUCCCAAUAACAAUUAAAAGAACUGUGGUGUUCUUUGAUGGAUGUCUCAUGUACACAGUAGAACAAUUGGUACUUUGUAUAUGAAAAUACUUUUAUUCUAUGAAUACAACAGCGGUACCAAAUUGUGUUAUGUAU
rnacentral:lncRNA from 1 species